rnacentral:rRNA from 1 species
UACAGAGGUCCCAAGCGUUGUUCGGAUUCACUGGGCGUAAAGGGUGCGUAGGUGGCGGGGUAAGUCUGAUGUGAAAUCUCCGAGCUUAACUCGGAAACUGCAUCGGAUACUGCCUUGCUCGAGGGUUGGAGGGGGGACUGGAAUACUUGGUGUAGCAGUGAAAUGCGUAGAUAUCAAGUGGAACACCAGUGGCGAAGGCGAGUCCCUGGACAACUCCUGACACUGAGGCACGAAAGCCAGGGGAGCAAACAGG